AGUUGGUGGGGUAAUGGCCUACCAAGCCGAAGACGAGUAACCGGUGUGAGAGCACGAUCGGUCAGAGGGGGACUGAGACACGGCCCCCACUCCUACGGGAGGCGGCAGCAGGGAAUCUUGCGCAAUGGGCGAAAGCCUGACGCAGCGACACCGCGUGGAGGAUGAAUGUCUUAGGAUUGUAAACUCCUUUUAUCAAGGAAGAGAACGGACGGUACUUGAUGAAUAAGGUUCGGCUAACUACGUGCCAGCAGCCGCGGUAAUACGUAGGAACCGAGCGUUGUCCGAAUUUACUGGGCGUAAAGAGCGCGUAGGCGGUCUAUUAAGUCUCAUGUGUAAUCUCCCGGCUCAACUGGGAGGGGUCAUGGGAUACUGGUAGACUUGAAGAUAGCAGAGGAAAGCGGAAUUCCCGGAGUAGUGGUGAAAUGCGUAGAUACCGGGAGGAACACCAGAAGCGAAGGCGGCUUUCUGGGCUAUUCUUGACGCUGAGGCGCGAAAGCGUGGGGAGCGAACCGGAUUAGAUACCCGGGUAGUCCACGCCCUAAACGAUGGAUACUAGAUGUUGGAGGUAUAGACCCCUUCAGUGUCGAAGUUAACGCGAUAAGUAUCCCGCCUGGGGAGUACGGCCGCAAGGCUAAAACUCAAAGGAAUUGACGGGGACCCGCACAAGCAGCGGAGCGUGUGGUUUAAUUCGAUGCAAAGCGAAAAACCUUACCUAGGCUUGACAUGUUUCUGAAAGCCCCCGAAACGGGGCCCUCCUUCGGGACAGAAUCACAGAUGUUGCAUGGCUGUCGUCAGCUCGUGUCGUGAGAUGUUGGGUUAAGUCCCGCAACGAGCGCAACCCCUGUCGUUAGUUACUAUGUCUAACGAGACUGCCCCCAUUGGGGAGAGGAAGGUGGGGACGAGGUCAA
rnacentral:rRNA from 1 species